rnacentral:lncRNA from 1 species
GCUAGAAACAUAGAAAACAAUUGCCUCUGAGCACGUGUAUGGAUUUCCUUGCAGGAGUCUGAGCUGGCAGUUAUUUUAAUUAGCAACACAUUUUAUAAGGGCAGAAUCAGAAAUGGAAACAUGUCAAAGCCUCUUUAGCUAUUGAGUUUGGCAGACUAACAUGCGUGUGCCUGGGUAUGGUAAUCAGCUCUUGACUCCCCUCCAUCUCUCCCAAGAGAGCCAUGUGAACAUACAGAGCCCCCUACUUGGAUAUGGGAGGACUUAUCAAUAUCACACACCAAAUGCUGAAGAUUCAGGAGUCCUCUUGAAGCCACUUCUGGGGAAAGCCUUCUCAAGAAGGAGUGCAACUCCCUACUCUUACUGA